rfam:Candidatus Altiarchaeales archaeon A3 Ga0073111_1168, whole genome shotgun sequence.
GGGCUCGUAGCGUAGCAGUAUCGUGCUUCCUUGGCGUGGAAGAGACCUCGGGUGCGAAUCCCGACGAGUCCA